AUUGAACGCUGGCGGCAUGCUUUACACAUGCAAGUCGAACGGUAACAGGUUAAGCUGACGAGUGGCGAACGGGUGAGUAAUGCAUCGGAACGUGCCCGAUCGUGGGGGAUAACGCAGCGAAAGCUGCGCUAAUACCGCAUACGAUCUGAGAAUGAAAGCGGGGGACCGUAAGGCCUCGCGCGAUCGGAGCGGCCGAUGUCAGAUUAGGUAGUUGGUGGGGUAAAGGCUCACCAAGACAACGAUCUGUAGCUGGUCUGAGAGGACGACCAGCCACACUGGGACUGAGACACGGACCAAACUCCGACGGGAGGCAGCAGUGGGGAAUUUUGGACAAUGGGCGGAAGCCUGAUCCAGCAAUGCCGCGUGCAGGAAGAAGGCCUUCGGGUUGUAAACUGCUUUUGUACGGAGCGAAAAGGUUCUCUCUAAUACAGAGGGCUCAUGACGGUACCGUAAGAAUAAGCACCGGCUAACUACGUGCCAGCAGCCGCCGCCG
rnacentral:rRNA from 1 species